UUGACAGUAUAAAAGGAAAACUUAUCUGCAUUUUAAGGAAUUUAAUUUUUGUUCAUGAUACAUGUGAUAUAAGUUAUGUUUCAAAUUAUUCAUGAGACUUUCGAUAUUGUGUAAAGCUCUGAUCGAGAACAUUUAAGUUUUCGCAAAUACUACCCAAUCUACAAUAAUGUUAUAAGGUAAUUUUGUUUGAAUAUUUUCAAAAUCCAGUCAACUCUAUAUUUUUUCUUUGAGGCAGUUGUUAAUCAUGUGCAUGCACUUUAUUGAAUAAUUCAGAGUCUUAUGCGUUGCCUAUACAGUCAACAUCGUACUUGCGACUACCUCUAUUAAGCAAUUUUUGUAUUAAACGACAGGUCAAAAUCCCUCCCGAAAGUUUUCAGUACAUAAAUUCAUUCCAUUAAACGACUUUUGUAUUAAACGACUAGCGACCACAUUAAUGUAGUCCCGACAGGUAAAAUAUUGGACAAAAGUAUCUAUUAAGCGACCGGGUACCAAAAUUCUUCCGGGCAUUUCUUCAUCUAUGUAAUUAGCGAGUACAUUUUGCACGUGACUGAAUGCAAUUAACCUUUGUAUCAGUCGAACUGACAAAAAAUCUAGCCAUAAUUUUCACGGUUUGUGGACUUUGAAAAGUGUUCACGAUGUUUAAACAGAUUUUUAAACCAUACAUAUAUGUUCAUAAUAAAUACAGUUACAUUAACAGAUAGACGACUUUUCUUUUCAUCUGACUGAAAUUCAUUAAGAGACCAUUCCAUUUGAGACACUUCUGGGCAGUCCCUUGCGUGGUCUCUUAAUACAAUGUCGACUGUACAUAAUGAGGAAGGGAAGUGGCUGAACCAUCCAUGUGAGGAAGAUGUAAUAUACACAGUUAUGACGAAUCAAAUAAGAACCAACUGGAUGACUCCUGUGUAUUUGAAGACAUGCAUGACUUGAUUAUGAACAGAUGUGCCCAUUUUGAAAACAAUGCACAAGUGAAGUUUCACAACGAGUGCUGCCUAUUAUUAAUGAUUUCCGGAACACGUUAAUAUGGUGAAGAAGAUUUUGAUACUGUGUAUGCUCGUGGUUGCAGUGUUCUUUGUCCUUUGGCAUUUGGUUGUAUCAGGAAUUCAACCACCAGUCCAAUUGGUAGAGGUGACAAAUUUGGAAGAAGUUGGAGUCGACAGUGUAUCUUAUGAAGGUGAUUACGGUCACGAAACGGCAGAGGGUGGGGGGUAGUUAGAAUACUUGCAGAUAUUCUGAUUUGUGAAAUAAAUUCUGAUUUGUGAAAUAAAAGCCAUGUUAUAUGGAUUAAACAAUACAAUUUGAAAUAUUUGUAAAUGUGACAGUAUGUUGUGGAUAAACUAUUAUUUACGGCUUGAAAAUGUCUAAGUACUACAGAGCCUUUAUCAAUUAUUGCGAUUAAAACUAGCAUUGUACAUCCAAACUUUAAUCGUUAUUUGUGAUGUUUAGAAAUCAAUUCUUACGAGUUUAUAUAAAACAUUAACCAUGUCGGUCUACCACUCUAACAAGCGUGAGAUAAUCGUCACAAAAGGGAAUAUUUACAGAUCUGCGCUUUAAAGAUAUUAAGAAAUGUGCGAUUUAGAUGGGCAAGUAUAUUUUCCCGUUCAUUACCAUGGUUCUAAUUGUAUACCUAGGGUUAGGGUAUAUCAUUAACAAUGGCAUAUACUUUCUGGCCUGGUGCAAGUGGAACGAAAGACCUCGAUACCGUGUCCCUGAAUAGCUGCUUAACGACUUAAGAAUACGGAUGCACUUAGUGCAUUUUUUUGAAAGGCAUUGCUAUCUUCUCAAUAUAUAAUAUAUACAACUUCAAACGUUUUCCCUACAAUAAAUAUAUAUUGAAAAAUAUUUCCCACCUUUCAGACCCAAUUUAACCUAUUUUAGAAGAACGCAAUUAAACAAAAUGUUUAAAGUACAAUAAUUAGACUAAAUAUCCAAGGAAGAAGAUUACAAAAUUUAAAGAUAAAGUUUGAAUAAUGAAACGGAAAUUAUCUACCACAGAUUAUGUAAAACAUUCUUUAAACAAAACACAAAAUUACAAAAUAAACACUUGAUGUGUGUACACAGGACACAGGUGCCCCCUCUCCUGUCACCGUACUUAGUUUUAUGACUCAAGAUUAAACAUUUUUAAGAUGUUUGCACACAAACAUGUAAGAACUUUGUGUAUUUUUACGUAGUAAAUGACCAUAACUCUGGCCUAGCUGAGUAAAAUCCCAAAGAGAACAAUCGGCGCAAAACUUCAUAGGCAUGUUUUAUGUCUCUAAGUCAAGUACAUUUUAACAUACAUGCAGCACAAACUUUUAUUUUUGACUAAAUCAAAAGCCAUAAGUCUGGUCUUGCAAAGUGAAAAAAACAAACAACAACAAAAAAAAACAACAGAAAAAAAA